CUUCACCUUUAAUUUGCAUGCAAUGUUGUUCUGAGUUUAUUGGUCAGCUGAAUAGUGGUUUCUGUUUGGAUUUUAGAAUUUAUUCUAACACUUCGAUGUAAAUUAGAUUGUUGGAUUGGACAUUCAAUUAUUGUUGUUUUUAGUUGUUCUAGGGGCCUGACAUAGGGUAUCUCUUAUUUUUCUUUAUGAGGAUUUGAAACUUGCAAGGCUGAUUAAUCUUUAGAGUUCCUAUAGAUGAAAAAUAAGCUCUUAUGAUAUGGACUUUAGCUAUGCUUAUUUGCUGAGCAUAUGCUUUUUUUUGUGGUGCUUACUCGGAACUACUGUAAUAUUUAUGUAUAGUUUUCAUUUGCCUUCAAGUAGUUUUGACAUAAUCAAUUUUUGAUGAUUUCAGUUUGUCAAGUUUGGAACAAAUCACUGGCACUCCAUGGCUUUAUAAUAACAUUUGUCUUUAUGAUGUAUUUGAAAUUGCUAUUUGGGUGAUUGUUUAUUUUGUUAUUUUCUUUAGAAACAUAUCCCGAAUGGAUUCAUAGAAAGUUGUAUUUCACACGAUCUCUAUGUCUAUACUGAAAUUCUAUCAUAGGAGGUUUAUGCUCUUGUAGUUGGUAUCAUGUUGGUAGCCUUGUCGGCAAAAUUGAGUUGUUAUAUGUAUUUCUGGAAUGUAGCUAAGAUAGUAAUUUUUGUAAUAGCAGACACGACCAUCCGGGAAAUGAUGCGAGGUAACUUUUUAUUUCCUUAUAUUUACAUUUAUAGUUGAAACUUUAGAGUUUAAGACCACUUCCAUUUGUUUUAAGCAAGAACUUGCUCUGACUCUUGCUCUGUUUUCCAGAUGAAGUUAAUCAAUCUAUAAUUAUAAGACAAAUGAUGAUGCCUGCAGCAUGGAGUGCAAAAGUGAACUUCUGAAAAUUCUCAAACUCAUCAAUGAGGGCUGAUGGAAAAAGUAUGUUGUCUCUGAUUGCCUUGUCCUUGAAUCUAGAAGAAGAUUACCUUGACAAGAUAGGUGCCUUGAACAAACCAGCAGCUUUUCUUCACCUUCUGCACAAUUGGGUUUAGCAUUGUGUUUUUUAUUUCUCUCUUCUAGACCUUUUUACGAAAGCACAAACAACCAUAUCCACAAAUUUAUGUCUGUGUUUGUCAUGACACCUAAAAUUUUAUCUUCAAUGUUGACUUCGGCUUUAUUUACUGUUAUUUCCUCCUGUUAAAUCUUCAUGUUAGACAAGGGAACAUAAUUUCUUUAUUUUCAAGUAUUGAUUUUUA